AACGAACGCUGGCGGCAGGCCUAACACAUGCAAGUCGAACGCACCGCAAGGUGAGUGGCGCACAGGUGAGUAACACGUGGGAAUGUACCCUUUGGUUCGGAAUAACGUUUGGAAACGAACGCUAAUACCGGAUGAGCCCUGCGGGGGAAAGAUUUAUCGCCAAAGGAGCAGCCCGCGUCUGAUUAGCUAGUUGGUGGGGUAAAGGCCUACCAAGGCGACGAUCAGUAGCUGGUCUGAGAGGAUGAUCAGCCACACUGGGACUGAGACACGGCCCAGACUCCUACGGGAGGCAGCAGUGGGGAAUAUUGGACAAUGGGCGGCAAGCCUGAUCCAGCCAUGCCGCGUGAGUGAUGAAGGCCUUCGGUUGUAAGCUCUUUCGUCACGCGACGAUGAUGACGGUAGCGUGAGAAGAAGACCCGGCUAACUUCGUGCCAGCAGCCGCGGUAA
rnacentral:rRNA from 1 species